rnacentral:rRNA from 1 species
UACGGAGGGAGCUAGCGUUGUUCGGAAUACUGGGCGUAAAGCGCGCGUAGGCGCUGAUUAGAUGUAGAGGUGAAAAGCCCGGGGCUCAACCCCGGAACUGCCUUUAAGACUGCAUCGCUUGAAUCCAGGAGAGGUGAGUGGAAUUCCGAGUGUAGAGGUGAAAUUCGUAGAUAUUCGGAAGAACACCAGUGGCGAAGGCGGCUCACUGGACUGGUAUUGACGCUG